rnacentral:rRNA from 1 species
AUUGAACGCUGGCGGCAGGCCUAACACAUGCAAGUCGAGCGAGCGGCGGACGGGUGAGUAAUGUCUGGGAAACUGCCUGAUGGAGGGGGAUAACUACUGGAAACGGUAGCUAAUACCGCAUACCAUCAGAUGUUCCCAGAUGGGAUUAGCUAGUAGCUGGGGUAACGGGUCACCUAGGCGACGAUCCCUAGCUGGUCUGAGAGGAGUACCAGCCACACUGGAACGUAGACACGGACCAGACUCCUCCGGGAGGCAGCAGUGGGGUAUAUUGGACAAGGGGCGCAAGCAUGAUGCAGCCAUGCCGCGUGUGUGAAGAAGGCCUUCGGGUUGUAAAGCACUGUCAGCGGGGAGGCGUUACCCGCAGAAGAAGCACCGGCUAACUCCGUGCCAGCAGCCGCGGUAAUAC